GCUGGGCACGGUGGUGCGUGCCUGUAAUCCCAGCUACUCAGGAGGCUGAGACAGGAGAAUUGCUUGAACCUGGGAGGCGGAGGUUGCAGUGAGCUGAGAUCACGCCACUGCACUCCAACCUGGAUGACACAGCGAGACUCUGUCUCAA
rfam:Pan troglodytes isolate Yerkes chimp pedigree #C0471 (Clint) chromosome 17, whole genome shotgun sequence.